rnacentral:snRNA from 1 species
GUGUUAGUUCGCUAACACAUAUAACUAAAAUUGGAAAACGAUACAGAGAAGAUUACGCAUGGCCCCUGCGCAAGGAUGACACGCGCAGAUUCGUGAAAGCGUUUCCUAUUUU